rnacentral:rRNA from 1 species
GUAGGUGGCAAGCGUUGUCCGGAAUUAUUGGGCGUAAAGCGCGCGCAGGCGGUUUUUUAAGGUCUGAUGUGAAAGCCCACGGGCUCAACCGUGGAGGGUCAUUGGAAACUGGAGAACUUGAGUACAGAAGAGGAAAGCGGAAUUCCACGUGUAGCGGUGAAAUGCGUAGAGAUGUGGAGGAACACCAGUGGCGAAGGCGGCUUUCUGGUCUGUAACUGACGCUGAGGCGCGAAAGCGUGGGGAGCAAACAGGAUUAGAUACCCUGGUAGUCCACGCCGUAAACGAUGAGUGCUAAGUGUUAGGGGGUUUCCGCCCCUUAGUGCUGCAGCUAACGCAUUAAGCACUCCGCCUGGGGAGUACGGCCGCAAAGGCUG